CCUACGGGUGGCAGCAGUGAGGAAUAUUGGUCAAUGGCCGGAAGGCUGAACCAGCCAUGCCGCGUGAAGGUCGGUGCCCCAUGGGCUUUAAAAUUCCUUUUUGCGGGAGCAAUAAUGGUCACGUGUGGCCAGCCGGGAGUAACGUACGAAUAAGCAUCGGCUAAACUCCGUCCAAACGGCCGGGUAAUACGGGGGGUGCCAGCGUUAUCCGGGGUUAUUUGGUUUAAAGGGGGCGUAGGCCGGGGGGUAAGUCAGCGGGGAAAAGCCCCCGCGCCAAGGGGUGAAGUGCCAUUGAUACUGGCUGGCUGGAAUGCGGAGGCCGUGGGAGGAAUGUGUGGUGUAGCGGUGAAAUGCAUAGAUAUCACACAGAACACCGAUUGCGAAGGCAGCUCACGAAGCCGCGAUUGACGCUGAGGCACGAAAGCGUGGGGAUCAAACAGGAUUAGAUACCCGGGUAGUC
rnacentral:rRNA from 1 species